GACGAACGCUGGCGGCGUGCUUAACACAUGCAAGUCGAACGGAAAGGCCCGCUUGCGGGUACUCGAGUGGCGAACGGGUGAGUAACACGUGGGCAACCUGCCCUCAGCUUCGGGAUACCACUUGGAACAGGUGCUAAUACCGGAUAAUAACCUUUCAUCGCAUGGUGGUGGGUUCAAAGUUUUUUCGGCUGAGGAUGGGCCCGCGGCCUAUCAGCUUGUUGGUGGGGUAAUGGCCUACCAAGGCGACGACGGGUAGCCGGCCUGAGAGGGCGACCGGCCACACUGGGACUGAGACACGGCCCAGACUCCUACGGGAGGCAGCAGUGGGGAAUAUUGCGCAAUGGGCGGAAGCCUGACGCAGCGACGCCGCGUGAGGGAUGACGGCC
rnacentral:rRNA from 1 species